rnacentral:lncRNA from 1 species
CUUCCACCGUUUUGCAUUUUGCCUCUCUGUUUUUUUCCCAAAUCGCAUGAACCCUAAUCAGCUGCCAUGGUUUCUCAUUUCUUAAUUUAUUUUCUUUUUCAAAUUGCAUGAACCCUAACCUACAUUUGGUGAGUCCUAAGCACACUUUCAGGUAGUUUCUUAAUUUUCUUCUGAAUUUCUACUUAAAUUUUUUAUUUUGUUUUCUAAACAUUUGCUUUGGUUUCAAUGGAUUGCUACUGACUUUAUUUUGAUUUUAUAAUUAUUAUUCAAUAUUUGAAGCCUGGGUCACCUUGGAUCACUUGUUCUAUUUGAUAACCCUAUGAAGCAAUUAGAGCCUAGUAGCACCAUUUCAUGUCUAUACCUCCAUUGAAGUCUAAUGAUAUUAAGGAAAUAAGGAAUUUACACAAUAAAAUCAUCUAAUAAUUCUGUUAAAUCGUUAAACAAGACCUUUUGAGAACAAAAUAAUUCUUUUUAUCUUCUGUUUUUUCAGUCAUGGAUAUGGAUGCAACAAGCAAUGCACCCUGAAUUGAAUUACAAUAGCAGUUUAAGGAAAAAAAUGGGUAAGUAAUCUUUAAUAUUACAAUUGAAUUAUAGUUGUGCAGUUAGCAGUUUAAGAAAAAAAUGGGUAAGCUAUGCACCCUGAAUUGAAUUACAGUUGCAGUCGCAUACCAAUUUUUAAUAUUGUAGAGAAUCGCAGUCAUAUGUGAUCUAUAUAACCUCAACUGCGAUUACAUUACAAUUUCAAUCAUAUUAAAAAAAUAUUAAUUAUGUUGCAGUCCAAAUAAUGGUUGAAGACAGAUAAUACCAAUAAAAAGCAUGUCAAUAAAGAAAUGGUUUAAGGAAAGAAAGAUGAAGAGGAAAGAAGAACAGAGAUUGCACAGAGCAGAGGUGCAUGCAGCAAUGUCAAUUGCAAG